CAACGUGGGUAACCUGCCCAAGAGACUGGGAUAACACCUGGAAACAGAUGCUAAUACCGGAUAACAACACUAGACGCAUGUCUAGAGUUUAAAAGAUGGUUCUGCUAUCACUCUUGGAUGGACCUGCGGUGCAUUAGCUAGUUGGUAAGGUAACGGCUUACCAAGGCAAUGAUGCAUAGCCGAGUUGAGAGACUGAUCGGCCACAUUGGGACUGAGACACGGCCCAAACCCCUACGGAAGGCAGCAG
rnacentral:rRNA from 1 species